CAAUUGCGAAGGCAGCUUUCUGGAUCUUUACUGACACUGAGGAACGAAAGCAUGGGUAGCGAAGAGGAUUAGAUACCCUCGUAGUCCAUGCCGUAAACGAUGUGUGUUAGACGUUGGAAAUUUAUUUUCAGUGUCGCAGGGAAACCGAUAAACACACCGCCUGGGGAGUACGACCGCAAGGUUAAAACUCAAAUGAAUUGACGGGGACCCGCGCAAGUAGUGGAGCAUGUGGUUUAAUUCGAAGAUACGCGCAGAACCUUACCAACACUUGACAUGUUCGUCGCGACUCUAAGAGAUUAGAGUUUUCGGUUCGGCCGGACGAAACACAGGUGCUGCAUGGCUGUCGUCAGCUCGUGUCGUGAGAUGUUGGGUUAAGUCCCGCAACGAGCGCAACCCUCACUUUUAGUUGCCAUCAUUAAGUUGGGCACUCUGAAAGAACUGCCAGUGAUAAGCUGGAGGAAGGUGAGGAUGACGUCAAGUCCUCAUGGCCCUUACGUGUUGGGCUACACACGUGCUACAAUGGCAUCUACAACAGGAAGCAAAACGGCAACGUUAAGCAAAUCCCGAAAAGAUGCCUCAGUUCGGAUUGCACUCUGCAACUCGAGUGCAUGAAGCUGGAAUUACUAGUAAUCGUGGAUCAGCGUGCCACGGUGAAUGCGUUCCCGGGUCUUGUACACACCGCCCGUCACACCAUGGGAGUUGGUUCUACCUUAAGGCAAGGUUUUAAACCCUUGACCACGGUAUAGUCAGCGACUGGGGUGAAGUCGUAACAAGGUAACCGUA
rnacentral:rRNA from 1 species